rnacentral:lncRNA from 1 species
GGGGUUAGAGGUUGGAGAAAGACGUGAUUAUAAAAUUCCUAAGGGAAUUUUUUGGAUAAUGGAAAUGUUCUGUAUUCUGAUUCUCGUGUGGUUCCACAAACUUAUAUGUGUGUUAAAAUGCAUAAAACUGUACAACAAAACAGAAAUGUCAAAUUUACUGUAUGAAAAUAUAAAAAUCUUUGCCAGCUUGUCACCCACUUUCUGACAUACAUGUGUCAUAUUUAGGUAUAUAAGAAUUCAAGAGAAGGCUGCAUGGAUUUUUCUAGCUGCAUAACUCCUGUGAUGGAUGAUAACAGAUGGAACACUUGGAAAUAACAGGCACAGCUGUGGCCGGGCCAACACAAAAGAAGAAAGAAAUCAUUACAUUCCAAGUAUGACCUCCUCUACUUUGAAUUCAAUACCAAUAAGAGACAUUUGUUUAUUACCAUAUUCUUGUAUUUCUUCUGAAAGUUGAUGUUCACAGAUAUACA